rnacentral:lncRNA from 1 species
UUUCAUGCAGGAAAGUCUAGGGUUUAUAUAGGCCCCAACUGGUUUGAAUUUGGAGUUGAAAAGUGUCAUCUCCCGGUUUUUCGGGGUCCUGGCGGUACUACCGGCAUAAUUGGGCUGUACUACCGCCUAUCAUUUGUCACUAAGCGGUAGUAUCGCUUAGUCUGGGUGGUACUACUGCCUGACAUCACUCGGAGACCGAGCUCAG